rnacentral:rRNA from 1 species
GAUGAACGCUGGCGGCGUGCCUAAUACAUGCAAGUCGAGCGAACGGACGAGAAGCUUGCUUCUCUGAUGUUAGCGGCGGACGGGUGAGUAACACGUGGAUAACCUACCUAUAAGACUGGGAUAACUUCGGGAAACCGGAGCUAAUACCGGAUAAUAUUUUGAACCGCAUGGUUCAAAAGUGAAAGACGGUCUUGCUGUCACUUAUAGAUGGAUCCGCGCUGCAUUAGCUAGUUGGUAAGGUAACGGCUUACCAAGGCAACGAUGCAUAGCCGACCUGAGAGGGUGAUCGCCCACACUGGAACUGAGCCACGGUCCAGACUCCUACGGGAGGCAGCAGUAGGGAAUCUUCCGCAAUGGGCGAAAGCCUGACGGAGCAACGCCGCGUGAGUGAUGAAGGUCUUCGGAUCGUAAAACUCUGUUAUUAGGGAAGAACAUAUGUGUAAGUAACUGUGCACAUCUUGACGGUACCUAAUCAGAAAGCCACGGCUAACUACGUG